rnacentral:rRNA from 1 species
CGGGGUGAGUAAUGUCUGGGAAACUGCCUGAUGGAGGGGGAUAACUACUGGAAACGGUAGCUAAUACCGCAUAACGUCGCAAGACCAAAUGGGGGACCUUCGGGCCUCAUGCCAUAAGAUGUGCCCAGAUGGGAUUAGCUAGUAGGUGGGGUAACGGCUCACCUAGGCGACGAUCCCUAGCUGGUCUGAGAGGAUGACCAGCCACACUGGAACUGAGACACGGUCCAG